GAACUGCGAUAAGUAAUGUGAAUUGCAGAAUUCAGUGAAUCAUCGAGUCUUUGAACGCACAUUGCGCCCCCUGGCAUUCCGGGGGGCAUGCCUGUCCGAGCGUCAUUGCUGCCCUUCAAGCCCGGCUUGUGUGUUGGGUAGUCGUCCCCUCCGGGGGACGGGCCCGAAAGGCAGCGGCGGCACCGCGUCCGGUCCUCGAGCGUAUGGGGCUUUGUCACCCGCUCGAUAAGGACCGGCCGGGCGCCAGCCGGCGUCUCCAACCUUUUUUUCUCAGGUUGACCUCGGAUCAGGUAGGGAUACCCGCUGAACUUAAGC
rnacentral:misc_RNA from 1 species